UAAUAGGAGAGCGCAUGUGUCUGAAAGAGAAAUGAUCGAGUCUUCUCUACUGGAGCAUGAGUUAAACGAUUGCUGGAAUUAUCUAUUCUUAUUUCAAUUUCAGAUCUUCACUCUCCUCAAAUAAGUAUCUUCUUGGGGUAACAGAAGAGCGCAUGUGUCUGAAAGAGAAAUGAUCUGAUCUUCUCCACUGGGGCAUGAGUUAAGCGAUUGCCGGAAUGCGAUUUUCAGCAGCUAUCCCGCUCGGCAUUCCAACACUGCCCUAUUCUCUACUGAGAGAAAACUUGUUCGCUG
rnacentral:lncRNA from 1 species